UACGUAGGGGGCAAGCGUUGUCCGGAUUUAUUGGGCGUAAAGAGCGUGUAGGCGGCCAGGUAGGUCAGCUGUGAAAACUCGAGGCUCAACCUCGAGACGUCGGUUGAAACCACCUGGCUAGAGUCCGGAAGAGGAGAGUGGAAUUCCUGGUGUAGCGGUGAAAUGCGCAGAUAUCAGGAAGAACACCAGUGGCGAAGGCGGCUCACUGGCCCGAUACUGACGCUGAGGUGCGAAAGCGUGGGGAGCAAACAGG
rnacentral:rRNA from 1 species